UACAGAGGUCCCAAGCGUUGUUCGGAAUUACUGGGCGUAAAGCGCGUGUAGGCGGCUAUGUAAGUCGGGCGUGAAAUCCCACGGCUCAACCGUGGAAGUGCACCCGAAACUGCGUAGCUAGAGUCCUGGAGAGGAAGGUGGAAUGCUUGGUGUAGAGGUGAAAUUCGUAGAUAUCAAGCGGAACACCGGUGGCGAAGGCGGCCUUCUGGACAGUGACUGACGCUGAGACGCGAAAGCGUGGGGAGCAAACAGG
rnacentral:rRNA from 1 species